rnacentral:rRNA from 1 species
CCUACGGGAGGCAGCAGUGGGGAAUAUUGCACAAUGGGGGAAACCCUGAUGCAGCGACGCCGCGUGAGUGAAGAAGUAUUUCGGUAUGUAAAGCUCUAUCAGCAGGGAAGAAGCAAGACGGUACCUGACUAAGAAGCCCCGGCUAACUACGUGCCAGCAGCCGCGGUAAUACGUAGGGGGCAAGCGUUAUCCGGAUUUACUGGGUGUAAAGGGAGCGUAGACGGUAUGGCAAGUCUGAAGUGAAAGCCCAGGGCUUAACCCUGGGACUGCUUUGGAAACUGUUAGACUAGAGUGCUGGAGAGGUAAGUGGAAUUCCUAGUGUAGCGGUGAAAUGCGUAGAUAUUAGGAGGAACAACGAUUGCGAAGGCAGCUUACUAAACUGCCACUGACAUUGAUGCUCGAAAGUGUGGGUAUCAAACAGGAUUAGAUACCCGAGUAGUC